AUUGAACGCUGGCGGCAGGCCUAACACAUGCAAGUCGAACGAGUGGCGGACGGGUGAGUAAUGUCUGGGAAACUGCCCGAUGGAGGGGGAUAACUACUGGAAACGGUAGCUAAUACCGCAUACCAUCGGAUGUGCACAGAUGGGAUUAGCUUGUAGGUGAGGUAACGGCUCACCUAGGCGACGAUCCCUAGCUGGUCUGAGAGGAUGACCAGCCAUACUGGAACUGAGACAAGGGUACGACGCCUACGGGAGGCAGCAGUGGGGUAUACUGCACAAUGGGCGCAAGCCUGAUGCAGCUAUGCCGCGUGUAUGGAGAAGGCCUUCGGGUUGUAAAGUACUUUCAGCGGGGAGGCGUUACCCGCAGAAGAAGCACCGGCUAACUCCGUGCCAGCCGCCGCGGUAAUAC
rnacentral:rRNA from 1 species